rnacentral:rRNA from 1 species
AGCAGUGGGGAUAUUGCACAAUGGGCGCAAGCCUGAUGCAGCCAUGCCGCGUGUGUGAAGAAGGCUUUCGGGUUGUAAAGCACUUUCAGCGAGGAGGAAAGGUUGUACUUUAAUAGAGUGCAGCUGUGACGUUACUCGCAGAAGAAGCACCGGCUAACUCCGUGCCAGCAGCCGCGGUAAUACGGAGGGUGCGAGCGUUAAUCGGAAUUACUGGGCGUAAAGCGCGCGUAGGUGGUUAAUUAAGUCAGAUGUGAAAUCCCAGGGCUCAACCUUGGAACUGCAUUUGAAACUGGUUGACUAGAGUUUUGUAGAGGGUGGUAGAAUUUCAGGUGUAGCGGUGAAAUGCGUAGAGAUCUGAAGGAAUACCAGUGGCGAAGGCGGCCACCUGGACAAAGACUGACACUGAGGCGCGAAGGCGUGGGGAGCAAACGGGAUUAGAUACCCCGGUAGUCCACGCAGUAAACGAUGUCUAUUAGAAUUUUGUGGCUAUAUGCCGUGGGAUUCAAAGCUAACGCAUUAAAUAGACCGCCUGGGGAGUACGGCCGCAAGGUUAAAACUCAAAUGAAUUGACGGGGGCCCGCCC